GUCCCGUUCGUCUAGAGGUCAGGACUUCGGCCUUUCACGCCGGCAACACGGGUUCGAGUCCCGUACGGGACGCCA
rnacentral:tRNA from 1 species